GUGACAUCACAUGCUGCAGAAGACAUGUAGGCACCAGGGGCAUGACAGCUUUACAACCUCACCAAUUAUAGGCAUGAAAAACUCCUAAAAAAGUGAUACAGCUGCUCACAAGUACUCUGGGUACUAUUUUAAUUAAUUAGUUCUCUCUUUCUUAUGAUUCCUUGGUGGCACCUGCCAACGAUGUACAAACACAUAAGUACAAGAUUGAUUGACAGUGGCCCAGAGACUGAGUGGCCCAGAUUAAUUUUUCCAUCCAUGAUGGGAAGCAUCCACCUUGAUAGACCACACCUUACUUCCCUCGAGGUGACAAAGAAAACAUCACCAGAAACAGUUCCUUUGCAUCUCUUGGGAAGGAGCCUCUUGGGAACCCAAAUGGGCAGAGAAAUUCUCCAUUUGGACUGAAAUCUCUUGACGUUCCUGGCUGUUGUUUUACAGCAACACCACUGCACCAGAGAAAGACUGAGGACUACAGGGUUAAAGAAGAACAAGUUGUCAAAAUCCACACAGCAGAUUGCACAGAGCAGCUGUUUCUGGAGCUGGAGAGGCAGGAAGAAUCAAGAUCUGAGGUGAGUCAUCCAAAAAAUCCACGCGGACGUUACAUCGGAGAUGAAAGCCAAGCUGGAAUGAGCAGCGGAACCAAACCCGUGUCUUCUGCUCUUCUUCAUGUGUCAUAAAGAAAGGAUGUCAUAAAACUGCAGAGCCUGGUGUCACCUGAAAUAAAACUGAGCAGCAGAGCUAAAGUUCA